rnacentral:lncRNA from 1 species
GUGAGAUUGUUGUCGGUUGGUGCCCGUGGUUUUUUCCCUUCGCAUUGAAGGGGUUUUCCACGUAAAUCGUGUGUCUUUGCUGUGAUUGAUUUCGUUUACUUCAUACUCCUAUACGUCGUUCAUAACAAAAUACUAGUAUUUAGUUGUGAUCAAAUGUACUAGCAUAAAUUCUGUAGCCAUUGUGUGUCCAGAUCAAAUAUAAAAUUCAUGAACAGGUGCACACCACGAUCAAAUUCAUGCUCGCACACACAGAAUGCAAUAUAUAACUCAACUGGAUAGUUCAGACUUCAUACGUUAAGGUAGUUCAAAUAGUUCAAAAUAUAACUGACGAUAAACUCAUUGCUAGGUGCAUACGAGGACCAAAGUGACAGAAAUCUGGUAUACAUGACCAGAUUGAGAAACAUAGAUAAGGUAGAUACAAGAGUUCAAAUAGACUUCAGGCUUGCAUACUGCAUGAUCAGAUUGCCUCCAGCCACCAUUUUAGAUUGCCUUGAACCUUGCUUUCAUCCUGCAUAAACAAAAAAAAAACAGUUCAACAUGUGCUCUCAGCAUAGACAAAAAAAACAGUACAGGAUCAUAUCACAAAUUAGUUAAAUUAUUAAGAUAGAUAAGUAAGGAAAAAAUCAUAGAAACCUGAUAUCAUACUCUAGAAUUUUUUUGUGUGGGACCAAAUUUAUUCCAGAUGUGUUCCAUCAUAGAAAAACACCCUGCCAGACAAACUCAUGUACUGAACAACAUGAGAAUAUUGCAAAUUGACUGAAAAAUUGACUCAUACAGCAGAAUAUUGCAAACUCAUGGACUGCAGUGGACCGAGGAUCAAAUUCAAUGAAAAAUUGACUUAUAGACUUCAUCUAUAGUUCCUAGGAAUAAGUAUAGAUAAUUCACAUACGAACUGAAUUUAUACCAUGAACAUGACUGACCAUACAACAUGACUGAUCAUACAACAUGACUGAUCUAUUGACUAACUGUACUAGGAGAGCAAAUUUAAGUGUCCAGGAACUAAUACUCAUGCAUACAUAGCAUAUAUGGUACUAUGAAUAAAUUGUGAAAUGAGAAAUAAAUACCAAUUUGGCUCAUGUUGGUUUCCAUGAAGAAAAGCGAAAUUUGGGGGAAUGGCACCCCAUCCUGCUUCGUGCGGUGGCGGUGGCGGUGGCGGCAUGGUUGACGACGGUGCAGACAGGGCAGGAGAAGAUGGAUUUGGCGCAGCGGGACUGGGAUUCGAUGCAGCAGGGGCAGACAUGGGCGGCUGGGGCAGCUGAACUGGAGGCGGAGCAGGUGCCGACGACCUCUUCAACCCCAGCUGCUUGCCCCUGCGGACCUUCCCUCCUCUGCCUUGCGGAUCUGUGCCGCCAUGAAUCCGACUGCCGGAGACGGUUCUAUGGCUGGAGGAUCUGGCGCCGUAACCCUAGUUCGCGGGCGGUGCACAGGAGAGAUGGUGGCGGGAGUAAAGGAUUGGGGAGAAGGAGGUGAGAGCUCGCGGUGCCG